rnacentral:rRNA from 1 species
AGAGGUUGCGAGCGUUGUUCGGAAUUACUGGGCUUAAAGGGCGCGUAGGCGGCCCGGUAAGUAGGGGGUGAAAUUCUGCGGCUCAACCGCAGGACUGCCUCCUAAACUGCCAGGCUUGAGCACGGUAGAGGCUGGUGGAAUUCCCGGUGUAGCGGUGGAAUGCGUAGAGAUCGGGAAGAACAUCGGUGGCGAAGGCGGCCAGCUGGGCCGUUGCUGACGCUCAGGUGCGAAAGCCAGGGGAGCAAACGGGAUUAGAUACCCCGGUAGUCCUGGCCCUAAACGAUGUCCACUAGGUCGAAGGUUCUCUGACGGAGUUUCGGCCGAAACAAAAGCGUUAAGUGGACCGCCUGGGGAGUACGGUCGCAAGGCUA